rnacentral:rRNA from 1 species
GACGAACGCUGGCGGCGUGCUUAACACAUGCAAGUCGAACGGAAAGGCCCUGCUUUUGUGGGGUGCUCGAGUGGCGAACGGGUGAGUAACACGUGAGUAACCUGCCCUUGACUUUGGGAUAACUUCAGGAAACUGGGGCUAAUACCGGAUAGGAGCUCCUGCUGCAUGGUGGGGGUUGGAAAGUUUCGGCGGUUGGGGAUGGACUCGCGGCUUAUCCGCUUGUUGGUGGGGUAGUGGCUUACCAAGGCUUUGACGGGUAGCCGGCCUGAGAGGGUGACCGGCCUCACUAGUACUGAGAUACGCACCAGACUCCUACGGGAGGCAGCAGUGGGGAAUAUUGCACAACGGGCGGAAGCCUGAUGCAGCAACGCCGCGUGCGGGAUGACGGCCUUCGGGUUGAAAACCGCUUUGGACUGAGACGAAGCGUGAGUGACGGUAAUGGGUAAAGAAGGACCGGCUAACUACGUG